rnacentral:rRNA from 1 species
AUACGGAGGGAGCGAGCGUUAAUCGGAAUUACUGGGCGUAAAGCGUGCGUAGGCGGUUUGCUAAGUCAGAUGAGAAAGCCCCGGGCUUAACCUGGGAACUGCAUUUGAUACUGGCAGACUAGAGUAUGAUAGAGGGGGGUAGAAUUCCUGGUGUAGCGGUGAAAUGCGUAGAUAUCAGGAGGAAUACCAGUGGCGAAGGCGGCCCCCUGGAUCAAUACUGACGCUGAGGUACGAAAGCGUGGGGAGCGAACAGGAUUAGAAACCCUAGUAGUCC